GCUACAAACGCAGACUCUUCUAGGGGUGCCAUCCAUCCACACUGACAAGAAAGGGAGCGUUCGCUCCCUUUAUCAUGUCUGAGAGAGAGGAAUGUGCGAAGCAAAGCUAAAUGUGUGAAAUGCAAAUACAAGUGGCUACGUUCUGGUAAUACAUUCCCUGUAUUGUUUAGGAGUACUGCAGGGCUUCGGCUUGGGAAUGCUGAUCUCCCCAACAGAUGGCAUAUCAUCCCUACCUACCUAGAGAAGACGUGCUUCCGACAAAGCAAAGAGGCAGGAGCAGUGUGAAGCAUGUGAGGGGAGCAGAGUGGCAUCCCCCCUAUUCGCAGCGUUGAGUAUCAGGGCUGGGGAUCACAAUGGAAACUAAGGGAGCUCCAUCCCAGCUGAAAAACAAAAGAGACUGUCAAAGCAGAAGAAGGAAACAUUGCACCUUCCAUGCCAGUUCUCAUCCCUACCCAACAAAUCAUAAACAUGCCAUGCAGCAUCUUCUUCCUGCAUGUAUGUCAAGAGUCUUCAGCAGGAUUUACUACACGUGGACUUCUGUUUGUAGCAGCAGCCCUGUAGAAUAGAAAGAAAGGAAUGGACAGUACCAGAACGUGAUAGAUUUGUGAAGGCCCCAGAUUUGAUGGGAAUCUUCCUUAUUAAUUUAACCUAUUACUGGCUAAUCGCUUAUGCACUGUAAAUCUGCAAAGGUCAAUUCUUGAAAUCACCAAACAAUAAGAAGGUACGAAACACUAACAAGUCCUAAUACAAUCAGAAUGUUAAUCGAUAGUCUAAAUGAAGCCUUGUAUUGCCAAUGAUGCAUGAAAAUAUAUUAUUGUUAGGAACUGCAAGCAUGGGUUUCACUGAAAGCAAUAAAAGGAAAAGCCAUGUAUUUGGAGAGAAAUACAGUAUAAAGAGCAUUUGGAAAUAUUGACUGUACAAUUAACUUUUCAAAAGACCAGCUUCAAGGAAUAAGCCAUUUCACUGAAAAGCUGCUUUCUUGCACAAAAAGUAAAAGACUGUUAAUACAAUAGAGAUACUUCAAAAAGGUCAAAUCUGACCUGUGCGGAUGCAACAGGAGAAUAUAUUUAUAUAUAUCUAUAUAUUAAACACUGCAUUUUAAA
rnacentral:lncRNA from 1 species